AGACGCUGAUGUCUUUUAUUUUGAUGAAUAUUAUAAAGACAGUCUCUACUUCCAGGUAGUCAAGAGUUUACAAUUAUAUCAAGGUUUUUCCCCUUCAUUAAGCCAGCAAAAAGAUGAAAUACAGUGUAGACAAAGUAGGCUCAUAGAGCACAUAUCCCCUUCCCUCCAGAUAUGCAGAUACCUCCUAUGUUAAUUCACUAUGUCAAAGGUCACUGGAUGGUAAAAUGUUGCUUGUACCCCAAGUUCAGCUUCUGAAAUAUCUCAGGCUCAGCUUUGUGAUGGUGAGUAUGAAGAAGAGGUCUCUCCACCAAACUUGGAUAAAUGCUGGUUCACUCUUGUAACUUCCAUCCUUAAAAAAGAGAAAAUUGAAACCCUUACAAUCACAAGCCCUACCUACAUCAUUGGAAAGGUCUUUAACAGGGUGACAAAGCCUCUGUCUGCAAGCUCUCGCCCACUACCAAAGUUGCUUCUGCAUUACCCUACUGCUUACCUCCUCUGGCUUUUUCAUCUCUUCCUUCCAACCUCUCCACCUACUCUUGCUUGGCUGUGGAGUCCUCAAAAACCCCUCUUCUUUGCUGGCCUACUCUUAUAGGUAAAUGACUGCAAAUGAGAAGAAGACCUGGAACAAGAGAGCUUUCAGCUGAAGCUUCAAAGUGGGAGGGGGCAAGGCACAGGUGUGAUGCUGGAUUCAGGAUUCUGGUGUGCCUGCGUGUAGGAUGUGCGCCAUUAUAUUUAUUUAUUGAAUUCUGGUUGAUAAUAAUAGCUGGUUCUUUAUUUAUUUAUUUAUUUACUAUAGCUCUCUUGUUUGUCUCAGUAGGUGGAAGAGCAGCAAAAAAACAGAGCCCUGCAUGAGUCAUAACCCAGAAAAAGCUCUGCUGAGAAUACAGCUCACACUCUUCUGCAGUGUAGCCCAGGCUUUUACAACACCAUGUUCUACACAAUCCUGUUUCAUCUUCCUGCACUCAACUCUGUCUGUCACAGCAAGGAGCUCAAGAAAGACAUGCUUUUAAAAUUAGAGGUACAGCAUGGUUUCUGCAAGGGGAAGAUAAACCUCGCAAGUGAUCAAACCGGUGUGAAGAAGGUAGUGAUUAAGUUUAUCCCAAAAACUCCUGAUGUCACUCCUGGGAACCAAGAUGCUGUUUCACAAGAGCUAAUUGUACUGAGGCUGGAAAGAACAAAAAUGGUGAUUCUACAAUGCUGUGUGGGCAGCUCUGAGAUGCAUGUGGCUUUUACAGAGAAGGAGGAAUGGAGACAAAAAAUUCAGAUUGAUGCAAGAAAAUGUAAAUGCUGAUGGAAAGAAAAACUGUGUAUCUAUCAUGCCAGUUUUCCCAUGAGGUUUUGGAAUGAAAAACUUUCAGAAAUAUGGAGUUAAAUACACACAUACAUAUAUAUAUAUGUAUAUAUGUCAGCAGUACAGGAGCUUCCAUCUCCCUAAAUGAAGUCAAACCCAUGGAUAGAAGGCAAUGCCACACUCCCUCUGGAAGGCAAAAAAUUUAUAGGUUCUGCCUUGCACACACCUGUGGUGCAGGUGUCUGGAUGGGACCUAACUCCACGAUUACCCUCCAUCAUCUGUGGUGGGACAAUCAGACACUUCACUUCAGCCUCAGUCUAAAACACCUGAGUGAGGAGAACUCCACUUUAGGUUCUUGGUCUGCAGUUUCAGGGGAGAUAAGCACCUAAAUGCCAGAGAGUUAUACAAUCAUUUAGGUUGGAAAAGAUGUAUAUGAGCAUUUGGUCCAGCCAUUUAACCCAGCACUGACAAGUCCACCAAUAAACCAUUUCCCCAAGUGCCA
rnacentral:lncRNA from 1 species